GUCCCGGUGGCCGAGUGGUUAAGGCGAUGCCCUGCUAUUAACCUCGAUAGCAACUAGGCAUUGGGCUAUGCCUUCGCAGGUUCGAAUCCUGUCCGUGACG
rnacentral:tRNA from 1 species